rnacentral:rRNA from 1 species
AUUGAACGCUGGCGGCAGGCCUAACACAUGCAAGUCGAGCGAGCGGCGGACGGGUGAGUAAUGUCUGGGCAACUGCCUGAUGGAGGGGGAUAACUACUGGAAACGGUAGCUAAUACCGCAUACCAUCAGAUGUGCCCAGAUGGGCUUAGCUAGUAGGUGGGGUAAUGGAUCACCUAGGCGACGAUCCCUAGCUGGUCUGAGAGGAUGACCAGCCACACUGGAACUGAGACACGGUCCAGACGCCUACGGGAGGCAGCAGUGGGGAAUAUUGCACAAUGGGCGAAAGCCUGAUGCAGACAUGCCGCGUGUGUGAAGAAGGCCUUCGGGUUGUAAAGCACUUUCAGCUGGGAGGCGUUACUCACAGAAGAAGCACCGGCUAACUCCGUGCCAGCAGCCGCGGUAAUUC